AAAGGUAUAUAUGGUUGUGAUAAUCUUUUUGCAGGCAGUCAUGUUCUUUGGAAGAAUGUAUUUGCCAUUUUGGCAGUAUAGUUUUGAUGAUGUAUUUGCUUUUUGAGAAGGCAACUACAUAUGCAUUUACUGUUUUGCAAAAGGCUACAGAGUUCUGUGACUGUUUUGAAAAUGGGCAACAUUGUUCCAAAAAAUGCUUGUACAUGAUUGAGAAACUCUAACUGAUCUUUCAUAACCCAAGGUAACAGUGAUACACAAACUGUCUCUUUAUACGUCUUCCCUUUAGUACAAUAACAGCGAUACUGGGUGCACAUCCAGGUGGAACACCUAAACCAGAAGAGGUCCAGAUUCCUGAAGAAAACAUACGACGUUAUAUAGAAAGACAAGUCAGUCAUGACAUCAUGCUGCUGAAGCUGCCUAAGGCAUACCCUCAGUUCACUACCAUUCAGCUUCCUCCCUCUACAUGCCAGACACCUGAGUUGAAGGAGAAUGUGAGAAUUGCAGGCUGGAGUUACACAGAAGAUGGUAGGUAGAAAGCCAGAGAAACUACAGUGUUCAAAAUCAGGAGACCUCCAAGUCACUGAGUGUUACCCCACAGAAGAUGCUCAAACCAAAAUUCAAAUGCGAUUCUGCGCAGCAGCUCCAGGGAAGAUGGACGCCUGCCAUGGGGACUCUGGAGGAAGUCUGAUGAACAAAGAUGGCCUCCUGUAUGGUGUGACCUCACGGGCUAGUAAAACAGAGUGUAAAGUUCCAAUCAACUUCAUGGAUGUUUGCAAGUACCGAGGAUGGAUAAUGGAAGAAAUCAAUAAAGAUAAUUCAUUGAAUAGUGAGUAAACAAAUGAUGUACUCCAAAUAAAAGGUGUUCUCAGAUCUCCAGAUCUCCUUGAGUGAAUC
rnacentral:lncRNA from 1 species